CGAAAGCCUGACGGAGCAAUACCGCGUGAGGGAGGACGGCUUUUGGGUUGUAAACCUCUUUUAUCAGGGAAGAAUCGAUGACGGUACCUGAUGAAUCAGCAUCGGCUAACUCCGUGCCAGCAGCCGCGGUAAUACGGAGGAUGCAAGCGUUAUCCGGAAUUAUUGGGCGUAAAGCGUCCGUAGGUGGUUUAUCAAGUCUGCUGUCAAAGCGUGCGGCUUAACCGCAUAAGGGCAGUGGAAACUGAUGAACUAGAGUGCGAUAGGGGUAACAGGAAUUCCCAGUGUAGCGGUGAAAUGCGUAGAUAUUGGGAAGAACACCAGCGGCGAAAGCG
rnacentral:rRNA from 1 species